rnacentral:tRNA from 1 species
GUGGCAGGCUGUAGUCCUGCAUACAUGGGUUUAAGUCCUGUUUCUAUCA